AUGUUAAUGGAUAGCAGAGAACUGGAAGUUUUUAGAAUAAAGAACAAAGAAGAGAAAAAACAUGAAUCCAUAAGAAACAGAUCUGAGUUCAUCUUUGAUAAUGGGACUCUGAUAAUAAACCGUGUGAUCAGAGCAGAUUCAGGAAAUUACAGAUUAGAGUUCUAUCACUCGGAUGGCUCAAGAACAUUUAAAAAGCAUCUACUUAUUAAUAUAGAAGCUCCUAUUGGCUCAGUGGAAGUGACAAUCAACUGCUCCUCCAAUCAGAGGUCAGUGUUCUGCUCAUCUGACGGGGAUCAGCUCCUUUACAACUGGACUCUGAAUGGAGAAAUACUAGAACAAGGACCAAUGAAUGGAAACACCACCAUUCAGCUAAAUGAGGGAACUGAUGGAGACAUCAGCUGCAGUGUGAAGAACCACUUCAGUCACGCACAGAAGACCAUUAGACUCAAACCCUGUCCUGGUCCAGUUCGGUUCUGCAGUUUUAAUCAAACAGAUCCCUGUUACACAGCUCUGGGAGACAAACUCCAUCUGCCGAUGGUGCUGAAUGCUAUAGAAUAUGACCUGAAGAUACGUAAGAAGAUAUACAACACUCAAGAUGAUCCAGUUUGUAGAGUAAAACAAGGCAGGAUAAAGGAAUGUGAUCUUAAUAAUAACAGAACUGAAUUGACAGUCAUUAAUGGGACUCUGAUAAUAAAUCGUGUGAUCAGAGCAGAUUCUGGGAAUUACACAUUAACACUCUCUCACUCUGACGGAACAGAAACAUCUAGAGAUCUUCAAGUGAUUGUUGAAGCUCCUAUUGGCUCAGUAAAUGUGUCAAUCAUCUGCUCCUCCAGUGGGGUGAUGAGGGUGUCCUGCUCCUCUGAGGGGGAUCAGCUCCUCUACAACUGGACUCUGAAUGGAGGUCCACUGAUGGAUGGAAACAGCAGCAUUGAUCUGGAUGAGAGAACUGAUGGAGACAUCAGCUGCAGCGUGAAGAACCACGUCAGUCACGCACAGAAGACCAUUAGACUCAAACCCUGUCCUGGACCAACUUCUGCAGCUGUGACACCAACACCAGAAUCUGUGUGUUCAGUGUCUGUGGUGUUUGUUCUGGUCUGGGGUUUCCAGCUGAUGGUUCUGUUCGGUCUGUUAGGAGCUUUUCACAUCUACAUGAGACACACGUCAGGUGAGAGACAUUCAUCAUCAUCAUUAGAGAUUUGACAUGGAAAUAUUAAGAGUGUGAAUAUAAUAAUGAUGUGUUGCUUUUAGGAAAGAAAGAGGAAGAUGAGAAAGUGAGAAUGAGAAGAUUUAGAGAGAGACAUGAACACACAGCAGAAGAUUCAUGAGAGCAGCAGCAGAUCUUCACAUCUGUGAGAAAUGACUUCAGAAUCAGUCCAGCUUUCACCUGCUGAAUAAAACCAGGAGACAGAAGAAGCUUUCAUGAUAGACAAUGGUCUUUACAUGUGUUUAUUUCUUGAACACUUUUUUUGUAUCAGUUUUAUUCAUAUAAUUAUUUUGUAUUCGGUCUUUAUGCUUUCAAUGACUAGAAGUAUUUUAUUACAUUGAAUUAAACUCCUUCUGUUCAUCUGUGAUCAAAUUCUUUUAUUUCUCUGAAUCAGAUCUGUCAGAUUGUGAACUCAUUCUGUGUGUUUUUUCUGUUCUUUCUCUUUUAAUUUAUUCUUGAUUUGGUUGAUUUCUCUUUAUGUUCAGUGUCUGUUGAGGUGUUUUAUCUGUUUGAAGCUCUUCAUCCGUGUCUCAGUUUUGCAGCGUCUGGUGUUUUCUGACUCUGGUUUUGCUUGAAUCUGCAGGUUUUUUUACAUUCAUUUUAACACAUUUAACCACAUAUGUGCAUUUAACUUCACAAUAUAUUUGUGUCAUUAUAGAGUAAUGAUAAACAUGUCAUUCUUUUAGAAACUGUAAUUGAUGUCAUUGUUUAUUUUGUUAUGCUUUACUUUGAGUUAUAUUAAAAUAAAAUGCUUUGAAAUGAAAUGUAAAUAUACAUUCAAUUAACAUGUUAUCUAUCAGCAUGAUUCCACGGUUGAUAUUUAUUUUAGACUAUUCAUGAUAACUUCUAGCUAGUUGUCUUGGUCAAAUCUUAUGUAACAACAUUAGACAGAUUCAUUUCAGCAACAAUCUGAAAUCUGACCCGACAGAUCAGAAUAUCGAUUAUUUACAGACUUAGAGCAGUAAAACACAAUAUCAAAUGCACUAAAACAGCAUUAUUUAAUGAUGAAUUAAAUUCUUUGUUGACUAUUAAUGAAUAAUUAGUUGAUGGUAACUGAAAAGCAUCAGUAAUGUGUCUUUAAUUAGCAGUUAAGUUCAGAUAAAUCAGAUGAAGCUCAUUUUAAGCGUGAUGUUGUGAGUGAAAUGAAAGCAGCUGUAGUUGUAGUUUCCUCCUGCAGGUGUCGCUCUCUACAUGAGCAGCUCGGAGCAGAUAUAAACUCAAUGUCCCAUGAGUCUCAGCUGCAGCAGACAGAAGAUUGAAGCUCACAAUCCUCUCUUCAUUCACACAUCAACUGAUGGAUCCGAGUCAAACAUCAUCACACACAGUCUGCUGGAAACACCACAUAUAGACCUGAUUCUGCUUUACUCUCAAUAAACAUGUCUACAGCAUCUCAUCAGUCAACUAAAGACACUGUUUCAGUGGAUUUAAAGGAGAAUCGUUAAAGCGUAUUUCAUAAUAAUAGAAAUUUAAAAUCAUUAAUAAACAACCAUAAGAAAACGUGUUGCUUCCAAAAACAAGAUUUUUUUUUAACUUUGUGACUGAAAAAGGUUCCUUCUUUCUCUUAGUUUCAUUUGUUUUGGAUAAAUUGUGAUGCAAACUAGCAGGAUGAGUAUUCCCCCAUAGCCUGUAGUGAUGGGUCAUUCUUGAAUGAUUCGUUCAUUUUGAACAAAUCAUUAAUGUGACUUGGAAAGAACGAGUCGUCUCGGAGAGUGAUUCUUUCAGUCGCACAUGCACAAAACUUUAUAGGUUCUUUACUGGAAUUAGUUCACCUCUUUCAGUCAAUGUAGUUUGAGCCAAAAAAAAAAAGAGAUUGUUGUCACUGCACUUCCUGGCCAGGUGGCUCACCUUUUGUGCCUCAAUGUCAUCCACAAACUUAAUGAAGAGAUUGGAGUUGUGUGAUGGUGUGUAGUCGUGGGUCAGCAGAGUGAAGAGGAGGGGGCUCAGCACACAUCCUUGAGGGGCCCCAGUGUUCAGUGUGAUGGUGCUGGAUGUGUUGUUGCCGACCCGUACUGCCUGAGGUCUUCCAGUCAGAAAGUCCAACAGCCAGUUGCACAGUGAAGUGUUGAGCCCCAGCUGAAUCAGUUUGUAGAUGAGCUGUUGAGGGAUGAUUGUGUUGAAUGCUGAACUGAAGUCUAUGGACAGUAUUCUGACAUAUGAGUCCUUUUGUCCAGUUAUGUGAGUGCUGAGUGGAGGGUAGUGGUGAUGGCAUCAUCGGUUGAGCGGUUGGACCGAUAUGCAAACUGGAAGGGGUCAUUGAAGGGGUCAAGUGGGGUCAAGUAGAUGGUAGUCAUUGAAGCAGGAUAGAGACAGCUUCUUUGGGACUGGAAUGAUGGUGGUAGCUUUGAAGCAUGUGUGAACAACAACCUGACUAAGCAAGAUGUUGAAAAUGUUUGUGAGGACAUCAGUGAGAUCCACUGCACAGUCUCUCAGUAAACACAGGAAUGCUGUCAGGACCUGGAGCUUUGCAGGCAUUGAUCACACUGUCUGGGGUCAGCGUCAUCACCUGGUCACCGGGAGGAGGUGGAGAGCUGUUUUGUGCCUCAAAGUGAGCAAAGAAGGCAUUCAGCUUGUUCAGCAGGGAGAUAGUGCCGUCACAGGUCUGUGGUAAGGGCUUGUAGUCCAUAAUGGUCUGUAUCCCUUGCCACAGGCUCUGAGUGUCUCUGCUGUCUCUGAAACGAUAAGCUAUCCUCCUUGAAUACUGUCUCUUAGCACCUCUGAUGCAUGCCACUGGAGGUUGCUGUCCCCGGACCCACUUCAUCUCCAGCUCCUCAGGCCUACCUGAUUCCAGAGGCUGCACUGAGUGUGUGCGGAGAGGAAUUGGAUGGGGGCUGCAAUGAAGACAUAGGCAGAGAGAGGCUAGGAAUAGAGCUGACCAGAAUCCCAGAGAGGCAGGCAGGUAUGAAGGAGGAAUGACAAAAACAGGAACACCAGACCAAGUAGACUAGAAAGAUAAACAAAACAAGAUGGGGUCAGAAACACGACAGAAACAAAAGGCCAUGUGCUCCAGGAAAACAUGGCCUAGUCAGACCCACCAAGAUCGUUACAGUUAGAGCCACAAAUCUGUAGUCGUAACAUCCUGUUAUCUUUGGUUUCUUUGGAACGGGGAUCAUGGUGGAGCAUCUGAAAGAGGGAAGGGACUUCACACAACUCCAAAGAUCUGUGAAAAUAUGGAGGCCAGCUGGUCAGCACAGGUGUUCAAACAGGCCGGUGUCACACCGUCUAGGCCUGGUGACUUUCUUCUUUUGUUCUUCCUGAAUACUCGUCUCACAUCGUCCUCACUGAUCUGUAGUGUAAGAGGGUGGAAUGCGGAUUGCAGGAGGUGUUAACAGUUGUGUAGAGAGUUGGUCAGAACAGGUGUGUGUGUGUGGGGGGGGGGGGUGCUUGAAUUGUACAAGACUCAAGGUGUUUUUCAAUGUCAAGGAAGGAUCCUCGGAAGCCAGUAUUUCAAGGAUGCUACGUCAUCGACAUCCGUCGAAGGACUGUUCCAAUGUCGAGGAUCCUCCGAAUUUCAAACAAGGACUGAGUCCUUCGUUCGAAGAAUAUCCCAUACACAGGAAAGGAUGCAUAUGUGUAUCCUUCGCGCUCUUCGCGCUCUCAAAUUACCCACAAUCCUAUGCGCACAGCUUUGCUAUCUAACGUUAGUUCAAAAAAUCAAAAAUGUCAAACGUUAACGUAGUCGGAGCGUUAACAAUUUUUAUUUACGUUACCAAACAUUUGUUAUAACUGUAGUAAAAAUUUGUAAAGUCUGACAUUUAAAUGCCGGUACAAAUUACUACCGUAUUGAUAUUGUAAAUUAUACAAACUGAACCGGACCUGUCAUUUAACAACUGGUUGCGUCAUCGGGAUUUCUUUUAUAAAUAACUAGUUAAGUUGUCCAAAGUAAUUUAAUGAUACCAUUCACAAACGGACCUUUUCACUGACGUAAUGACGCAAUUACAUGCAAUUGCUAGCCUGUUCCAUUUACGUGUUCUCCGUAUGCUAAAGAGGAGUCUCACCUAGCCUCUGAAGGAAGUGACUUGGAAGGAUCAGUCCUACCAAGGAAGUAUCCUUGACAUUGAGAAAUGCCUUCAGUGCCCAUUUUUGUUAGCAUCCUCUUUGGCCUAACA
ensembl:lncRNA